GACGUAGGGGGCCAGCGUUGUUCGGAAUUAUUGGGCGUAAAGGGCGCGUAGGCGGUGCGGUAAGUCACCUGUGAAAACUCUGGGCUCAACUCAGAGCCUGCAGGCGAAACUGCCGUGCUGGAGUGUGGGAGAGGUGCGUGGAAUUCCCGGUGUAGCGGUGAAAUGCGUAGAUAUCGGGAGGAAUACCAGUGGCGAAGGCGGCCUUCUGGACGGAUACUGACGCUGAGGCGCGAAAGCCAGGGGAGCAAACGGG
rnacentral:rRNA from 1 species